UACGAAGGGUGCUAGCGUUGUUCGGAAUUACUGGGCGUAAAGAGCGCGUAGGCGGUUAUACAAGUCAGGGGUGAAAUCCCAGAGCUUAACUCUGGAACUGCCUUUGAAACUGUAUAGCUGGAGUGUGUGAGGGGAUAGCGGAAUUCUUAAUGUAGAGGUGAAAUUCGUAGAUAUCGGGAGGAACACCAGUGGCGAAGGCGGCGACCUGGGCCAAUAUUGACGCUGAGGUGCGAAAGCGUGGGGAGCAAACAGG
rnacentral:rRNA from 1 species